rfam:Dipodomys ordii contig_83720, whole genome shotgun sequence.
GGUGGCUCAAUGGUAGAGUACUUGCCUUGCAUGCAUGAGGCCCUGGGUUCAAUUCCUCAGCACCA